rnacentral:lncRNA from 1 species
UUUAAGACAUUACCGAGAACCUCCUGAAUCACAUCCCUGUUCAGCUGGAACCCUUCUCCUAACAAUUUAAAUAGAAAAUCUUCCGUAUCCUUCUGCAAAUGUCAUUCUUUGAUUGUUUUGGUUUAGUUUCUUCUCUGCACAGUGCAGACAUGGGAAAACUCCUUUAGAUCCAACUUCAAUGGCUUUGAUGCCAGAAAAGUGCCAUUAGCUGGUUGCGCAGGUUUAAUAUAUUCUUUACCAAGAAAACUUGAAACGGUACCUCCUGAUACCGGACGCCAUUUUGUCCUAGUAGGUCUAGAUUUUCCAUUUUUCUAAAACGAAUUCUCGGAUAUGUUACUAUUUGAUGAUUUUGAAGACUUUUUACCCCUUGCCUCACCAGCAGAAAGAUGGAUAGAAGCGGUUUAGGUGUUUGCCUGUCUGUCACAGAGAAAUUCACCAGCCAAAUCGGGAUUUCCGAUAAGCGAGGCUAUUUAUUGCAGAGUAAACACAGACCAAAUGUGUCAAGUAAAACCUUUAGUGCCUUUCCUCAAUGUCAUAAUUUAAUCCAUUAGACCCAGAUACUUCCUUUCCAAAUAAACUUCACAGAUUAAUACAAAAAGAAAAAAUCAGCACAUGCUUCUGGAUUUGAAUUUGACAUAAAUAAUUGGGGAAAAGAGAAAAUUAAAGUGUGGAUCACAAAUUGAAUCACUGUAACACAUAAUCUACCCAAUUAAUGCCAAUAACUUAUAGCACAGAAACUCCUUCACAAUGCUUUUGUUCUAACACAAAUUUUCUGUACAAUCACCCAGCAUUCAUGGUGUGUAGCUAUUUAAAACUUUAUAUAUGUAUAAUAAAUGAGUCAAAUAAAUAUAAAUAUUUAAAAUAAUAUAUAUUUUAUAAUAUUUUUUUAAUCUGCUGUACGGCCAAGGCGGAUGUACGGUACAGCAGAUCAGUAUAUUUAAGACAUUACCGAGAACCUCCUGAAUCACAUCCCUGUUCAGCUGGAACCCUUCUCCUAACAAUUUAAAUAGAAAAUCUUCCGUAUCCUUCUGCAAAUGUCAUUCUUUGAUUGUUUUGGUUUAGUUUCUUCUCUGCACAGUGCAGACAUGGGAAAACUCCUUUAGAUCCAACUUCAAUGGCUUUGAUGCCAGAAAAGUGCCAUUAGCUGGUUGCGCAGGUUUAAUAUAUUCUUUACCAAGAAAACUUGAAACGGUACCUCCUGAUACCGGACGCCAUUUUGUCCUAGUAGGUCUAGAUUUUCCAUUUUUCUAAAACGAAUUCUCGGAUAUGUUACUAUUUGAUGAUUUUGAAGACUUUUUACCCCUUGCCUCACCAGCAGAAAGAUGGAUAGAAGCGGUUUAGGUGUUUGCCUGUCUGUCACAGAGAAA